rnacentral:rRNA from 1 species
UACAGAGGGGGCAAGCGUUAUUCGGAAUUAUUGGGCGUAAAGGCGCGUAGGCGGCCAUUCAAGUGACGGGUGAAAGCCCUCGGCUUAACCGAGGAACUGCCUGUCAGACUGGAUGGCUUGAGACCGGGAGAGGUGAGUGGAAUUCCCAGUGUAGCGGUGAAAUGCGUAGAUAUCUGGAGGAACACCGGUGGCGAAGGCGGCAUCCUGGACCGGUAUUGACGCUGAGGCGCGAAAGCUAGGGUAGCAAACGGG